CCAGGGGCGUAGCUACCCGGAGGCACGACAGCACGUGCAUCCACGUUGUUUUCAAAAAAAAAAAAGAAAAAAAAAAGCAGAAGAGAGAGAGAUGAGUUGGUCAAUCGGAAUCGGAGACUGUUGGUGUCUUUUCCGUCUAUCCCGGAUAUUAGUUUGACAACCUAGUUACAAGUGUUGAUGAAGCUGUUCAUUCAGAAAAAGAUCGUAGCUCCGAAGUUGCGUGCACAUUGAUUCGGUAUGCAAAAAAAGAAAUGGAAA
rnacentral:lncRNA from 1 species